GGGUCGUAAGACUCCUCGAGAGUCAGACUCUUUUGAGGAGCAUGAAAGGAAACGGCUCCGGGACUUAUUUGCAGAACCAACAGAUGAAGACUCAUUUGAGGGUUUUACCGAGGGAAUGGAGGAAGAGAUGGUUAGCUCAGAGGAGGAUGACAUGGAGUGGACUCGUGUGAGGGAGGAUUUGGGUGUCACCGGCAAUGAUAGCAUGGGAGGCGAUUGGCGGGUUGCAGGAUCAGACCCAUGGACGGGCUGGAGGGAUGGAGCGGGAUCCACAGCUGGGGAUGCUGUGGGGCGUAGUCAAAGGUGUUUUAGCUCUGAUGAGGAUGAUGAUGAUGAGGCACCUGGAAUUAGAAUAGCAGCUGACAGCGAUGAGGAGUUGUGAACUGGGAUAAAAUGGGGUUUAGGAUCAAUGGCUAAUUGCGUUGGGCAAGGUAUCCAGCAACGAAUCACACCCGUCUUCAGGAAGUUCCCCAACAAGAGCCCAAGCGUUCGUCCAGAUUACCUUGCCCAACGCAAUUAGCCAUUGAUCCUAAACCCCAUUUUAUCCCAGUUCACAACUCCUCAUCGCUGUCAGCUGCUAUCCUAAUUCCAGGUGCCUCAUCAUCAUCAUCCUCAUCAGAGCUAAAACACCUUUGACUACGCCCCACAGCAUCCCCAGCUGUGGAUCCCGCUCCAUCCCUCCAGCCCGUCCAUGGGUCUGAUCCUGCAACCCGCCAAUCGCCUCCCAUGCUAUCAUUGCCGGUGACACCCAAAUCCUCCC